CCCUGGAGGGCGGCGGGACGGCCCGUCCCACCCCGGGGGCGGCGGGCAGGAAGCGAGGAGGCCGGGGCCGGUACCUGCCCCGGGCCCGGCCGGGUUUCAUCACCGGGCAGCGGCGGCCCCGCCUCUCCCGCCGGCCCAUAAAGGUGCGGGGCGGCGCGGCCGGCAGCCACAUCGCUCCCGUCGCCGCUGCUUUCCCCGCUCCUCCGCCGCUCCCCGGGGACGCCAGGGCGAUGGACGCCGGCUGUCUGCGGGCCCGCAGCCUGCUGCUUUUCCUCGGUUACCUCUUGCAGGCAGCCCUGGGCACAACAGUGAUCCCUUUAUGUGGGCCUGGCGAGAUGGAGAACUGCACCACAGCACUAAGUAAGUGGAAUUGUCGAACAAAACCCCAAUUUUUAGCCUGCCUUUCCCUUAAUAUUGCUUUUUCAGCAGGAGAGCUCUGUCUUAUGUGAGAACUCUGCUGUAAAAGCUGAAAUAGUUUAUGUGGAACUCCUGAAGGAAAAGUCAGGAUAACUCCGGCCUGGGAGAAUCGUCUCCCGGUUCAGAAGGCUCU
rnacentral:lncRNA from 1 species